rnacentral:lncRNA from 1 species
CAUACUGGUUUGUACUGGGAGGGACUGGGAGAGGUUAAAAAGGGGAUUUGGGGUUACUGGUUUAUACUGGUUUAUACUGGGAAUGCCAUUAGAAAGCUCUGGGAGUUACUGGGACGGAACUGGGAUUGAACCAGUGCCAAACUGGUUUAUACUGGUGUGUACUGGUCUGUACUGGUUUGUACUGGUUUGUACUGGUAUGUACUGGUUUAUACUGGUUUGUACUGGUCUAUACUGGUUUAUACUGGUUUAUACUGGUUUGUACUGGUUUGUACUGGUUUGUACUGGUUUGGACUGGGAUAUACUGGUUUAUACUGGGAUGGAUUGGGAGGGGCAUCAACCCCGGUACUGGUUUAUACUGGGAUAGACUGGGAUAUACUGGAAUGGACUGGUUUAUACUGGUUUAUACUGGGAGGGACUGGGAGCGCCCUGAGGGGUUACUGGGAGCACUGGGAACACUCCAAUAUCUCUUGGGUGGGCGUGGCCUCUCCUUAACCCCGCCCCUUUUAUUAACUCCGCCCCCUGAGGAGUUACUAGGAGCACCUCAGUGUCUCCCAGUGGGCGUGGCCUCUCCCUAACCCCGCCCCUUUAUUAGCUCCGCCCCCUGAGGGGUGACUAGGAGCACCUCAGUGUCUUCCCAGUGGGCGUGGCCUCUCCCUAACCCCGCCCCUUGAGGGGUUACUAGGAGCACUGGGAACGCCUCAGUAUCUCCUGGUGGGCGUGGCCUCUCCCUAACCCCGCCCCCUGAAGGGUUACUGGGAGCACUGGCAAUGCCUCAGUAUCUCCCGGGGGGCGUGGCCUCUCUCUAACCCCGCCCCCCUUUGUUGGCCCCGCCCCCAGAGGGCUCCCCGCGCUUCCGGUUGUCGCCGGCGGGCGCUCUCGUCAUCGCCAACGUCACGCGCGGCGACAGCGCCGCCUACCGGGUGUGGUGCGUCAACGCCGAGGGCGGGGCCGGCGCUGACGUCACGCUGCUGGUGCAGGGUACGGGAGGCCCCGAAAAAAACCCCGAAUUCACCCCAAAAUUGGCUUCAAAAUCCCCUUCCAAAUUCACCCGGAAUUACCCCAAAAUCACCCCGGAAUGAACGGAAAAUUGACGCGGAUGGAGCUGAAAUUACCUAAAAAUGAACCCAAAAUUCACCUGGAACGAACCAAAAAUGAUCCCAAAAAUUACCCCGAAAUUCACCUGGAAUGAACCCAAAAUUAUCCCGAAAUUCACCUGGAAUGAACCCAAAAAAUCACCCCAAAAUCAACUCAAAAUUCACCCCAA